rnacentral:tmRNA from 1 species
GGGGGUGUACCGGAUUCGACGGGCUGCGUACAAUUGCAGGCUGCAUGCCGAGAGUGCCCGAUGGUUCUCGUAAAUCAACCAUCAUGGAUAAAAAGUAGUUGACAACAAUUACUCAUACCGACUGGCUGCGUAAAGCAAGCCGUCCGUUCUCGCAGGUGUUCGUCUAUUGACCCUGCCGUGAGCGCCGACUUAGAUAGACUUUUCCCAAGCCCAUGUCUGCUGGGUGGAAGGAGAACUUAAUGCAGAAUAGGAUGGAGUCGCUUUGCUGUUGAGCAUUGCUUCAUCCGAAACUUAAUCAAUAGCUAAGCAUGUAGAUGCUUGACGAUUUACCUUCCCGGACCGGGGUUCAACUCCCCGCACCUCCACUU